CCACAUAAGAUGACCAAAAUUAUUUUUAUGUUAUGUGUGCUUGAUCCACGCCAUAAGUUUAAUACUCUUUCAUUUGCGCUUGGUGCUAUGUUUGGAGAAAUAAUAGGUUUGAAAAUACAAGAGGAUGUGAAAACAUACAUGGAUACUUUAUUCAAUGUGUAUGCAAUAAAAAAUGAUGGUUCUAGUUCAUGUCAAUCUUCUCCAUCUUCUUCAUCAUUGCUCUCAAAAUUCAUGCUAGAUUUAAAGAAGCAUAAGAAAUGUGGCGGAGUUGAUUCUAAAACGGAGUUAGAUAAAUAUUUGGGUGAAGAUGUUGAGGAAGACCAUUAAAAGUUUAACAUUCUAGGGUGGUGGAAGUUGAACUCACCUAGAUUUUCCACUCUUGCUGAGAUGGCAUGUGAUGUGCUAGCCAUUCCGAUUUCUAGUGUUGCCUCAGAAUCAACCUUUAGCACCGGCGGACGCAUACUUGAUCUAUUUAGGAGUUCAUUGACUCCUAGAUUGGUUCAAGCUCUUGUGUCUAUCCAAUAUUGGCUUCGAAAUGAAUCAACAACUCCGGUUAAAAUUGAAGAAGAUUUAGAUAAUCUUGAACAACUUGAAGCUGAAUUUAUUAAUAUUGGAAGAGAGCCUUGCAUUGUCGACGUAUAGUGAUUUUCCAUUUGUUGUACAAGCUCAGAUUUUUAACUGGUUGUCUCACAGUCCUAUUGAGAAUCUGAGAUUUAGAGCUACAUUUGACCUGGUUGCUGGUUGUGUUGACUGUUGCAGCUUCCCAAAAGUUGGAACUUGAAACUCUUUUGUUUUGUGUAAUCUGUUAAAGAACUGUUGGGGAUUUUAAUAGUUUGAUUUGUUUUAUUUUGUUGUGACAGUAUGAUUUGAAAGACAAUUGAUUGUGUUUUGUUUGGGGCUUUAAGUUUGGUUUGGUUUGAAACUUUGAAAGACAAUUGUUGCAUUAUGUAAUAUUUCAGAUUGUGGUUUUGUUUGGA